GGGGGAUUAUGGGGGUCCUGGAGGUAGGAUGGGGCUCCUGGAGGUAGGAUGGGGCUCCUGGAGGUAGGAUGGGGCUCCUGGAGGUAGGAUGGGGAUGAUCCUGGAGGUAGGAUGGGGGUCCUGGAGGUAGGAUGGAGGUCCUGGAGGUAGGAUGGGGAUCCUGGAGGUAGGAUGGGGGUCCUGGAGGUAGGAUGGAGGUCCUGGAGGUAGGAUGGGGAUCCUGGAGGUAGGAUGGGGCUCCUGGAGGUAGGAUGGGGGUCCUGGAGGUAGGAUGGGGGUCCUGGAGGUAGGAUGGGGGUCCUGGAGGUAGGAUGGGGGUCCUGGAGGUAGGAUGGG
ensembl:lncRNA